AAAGCUAGGGGCACGAACCGGGAUUAGAUACCCGGGUAGUCCUAGCCGUAAACGAUACUCGCUAGGUGUCGGCCACGGUGCGACCGUUGUCGGUGCGUAGGGAAGCCGUGAAGCGAGCCACUGGGAAGUACGGCCGCAAGGCUGAAGCUUAAAGGAAUUGGCGGGGGAGCACCACAACGGGUGGAGCUUGCGGUUUAAUUGGAUUCAACGCCGGAAAUCUUACCGGGACCGACAGCAAUAUGAAGGCCAGGCUGAAGACUUUGCCGGAUUAGCUGAGAGGUGGUGUAUGGCCGUCGUCAGUUCGUACUGUGAAGCAUCCUGUUAAGUCAGGCAACGAGCGAGACCCACGCCCACAGUUGCCAGCGUACUCUCUGGAGUGGCGGGUACACUGUGGGGACCGCCGCUGCUAAAGCGGAGGAAGGAAUGGGCAACGGUAGGUCAGUAUGCCCCGAAUAUCCCGGGCUACACGCGAGCUACAAUGGUUGGUACAAUGGGUAUCUACCCCGAAAGGGGACGGGAAUCUCCUAAAACCAAUCUUAGUUCGGAUUGAGGGCUGCAACUCGCCCUCAUGAAGCUGGAAUCCGUAGUAAUCGCGUUUCAACAGAACGCGGUGAAUACGUCCCUGCUCCUUGCACACACCGCCCGUCAAACCACCCGAGUAGGGUCUGAAUGAGAGCGCUUUCUUUGGAGGCGUUCGAAUUUGGGCUUUGCAAGGGGGGUU
rnacentral:rRNA from 1 species